ACGCCUCUGGAAAGUGGGUUUACACACCCCGCCGACGGUGAAAGCCCGCACUAGCUGCGGGUGAAGCUCUCAGGCGCCCUUUCGGGCAUGGACAGAGGGGGAGGG
rnacentral:ncRNA from 2 species